AUUUAUUAACUUUUAGAUGUAUUAUAUAUAUCUAUAAUUCAAAAAAUUAUAACUAGUCGAGUACAAAAGAGACUCGAGGGUCGUGUGUUUUGGUAUGUUCAAGUUUAUACGUAGAGUAGAAACAGAAACACACCUCGCCUGUUAUCCUUUGUUAAGGAGGAUAGCAGACAAUUACAAGUUCACAGAUUGGGUUUAUAUUUGGUUUGGAUACGUGUUAAUGAUCCCUCCGCAGGUUCACCUACGGAGACCUUGUUACGACUUUUACUUCCUCUAAAUGACCAAGA
rnacentral:misc_RNA from 1 species